rnacentral:ncRNA from 1 species
CCUUAGGCUUCCUUUGAAGCCACCCCUGUUCACAAUCUAUUUUAAU